rnacentral:rRNA from 1 species
GCGCACGAGGGAGCUUCCAGGGGGAAACGCCUGGUAUCUUUAUAGUCCUGUCGGGUUUCGCCACCUCUGACUUGAGCGUCGAUUUUUGUGAUGCUCGUCAGGGGGGCGGAGCCUAUGGAAAAACGCCAGCAACGCGGCCUUUUUACGGUUCCUGGCCUUUUGCUGGCCUUUUGCUCACAUGUUCUUUCCUGCGUUAUCCCCUGAUUCUGUGGAUAACCGUAUUACCGCCUUUGAGUGAGCUGAUACCGCUCGCCGCAGCCGAACGACCGAGCGCAGCGAGUCAGUGAG